AGAGAAUCGCUUGAAGCCAAGAGGCAGAGGUUGCAGUGAGCUGAGAACGUGUCACUGCAUAUCAGCCUGGGCAACAGAG
rnacentral:snRNA from 1 species